GCUAGCGUGGCAGAGCUCGGCUAAAUGCAA
rnacentral:tRNA from 1 species